UACGGAGGGUGCAAGCGUUGUCCGGAUUUAUUGGGUUUAAAGGGUGCGUAGGCGGGUUAUUAAGUCAGUGGUGAAAGUCUGCGGCUCAACCGCAGGAGUGCCAUUGAUACUGGUAGUCUUGAGUACAGUAGAGGUAGGCGGAAUUUAUGGUGUAGCGGUGAAAUGCAUAGAUACCAUAAAGAACACCGAUAGCGUAGGCAGCUUACUAUGCUGUAACUGACGCUGAGGCACGAAAGCGUGGGGAUCGAACAGG
rnacentral:rRNA from 1 species